rnacentral:lncRNA from 12 species
GGGCUCUAACCUGAGCAUAAUGAAAUUUCAAAGAUGAAGUGAGUUGCCAGAAGUGCAAUUGCUUAGAGCAUGGAGGAAGGAAGGAAAAGCGUCAGAGAGGCAUCCCAUGAUAACUCAACUUACUCCAAAUGUUCUGGAAAUGUGACAGAUGCUGCUGCUAAGUCAUUCAGUUCCAGACCGGAAAUAUUAUAAAAAUGGGCAACGUGUUCCCUGUCCAGCUGUUCUCAGAAUGCCCAGAUCUUGGCAACCACAACAAGGAUCGAAAAGUAGAGAUACGUGCAUUUCGUCUGGAAGUUUCAAAGCUCUCAUCCCAGGUAAUUUUACAUGCACAAUGACACACCAUCUUCACCAGGCUGUGGUGUGCGCUGAAUACAAUAACAAGCACGUAGUGUGGGGUGGGGGCGUACCCCAGGAGAGUUUGUGGGUGGCUGAGGUGGUGGGGAGGGUCCCAGACUGGGUGGGAACUGGGCUCCCCUUCCAGCAACUCCAUCUCCUACCUGGAUGGCCAUGGGCCCACCUCUGUGUGGUGAAGCCUCAGCCCCCUCCUGGGUGAGUGGAAGCAGAUUCCUCACAGGGAUGCUGUGAGGAUUCAUGAGGACACCUGCCACCACCUGGGGGCUACUGUGGGCCACCGUGCUCCUCCCACCUGCUAUCUCCUGUGUUCUCGACGUUCCUACCUGUCCCUCCAUUACUCAAGAAUGACUAGAAAAUGGAGGAAGCCUAAGCAUUUCUGAAAAGGGCGCGCUUUGCCCUUUCCACUCCCGGGCCCCCAGAGGGGAGGCUGCUCGACUGCAUCCUGAGUCCUCAACCAAGAGUUUUAAUCUCUUCCCAAUUACUUAAUCUCUCUACACCUGAAUUUCCUCACGUACGAAAUGGAGAUGAAGAGAGUAUUUCCCCACUGGGCUGUAGUGAGGAUUAAAUGAGACGACGAGUUCUUGCUUUUAUGAAUGCUGUUCCAGGAACGUUCCACAGAGUCUGGAGCCUGAGGCCCAGCGGCCAAGUGGCGGCCUUCACUGUGCUUCGAGGACCCCAUCUCACCCCUCCUGGUCUGAAGGAGGGGGGCACGAUUUGGAGGCAGCUGGGGUUACAGGAUGACAAAUGUCGCUUGCAGGACGCAAUGGGAGCUCCCACAGCAAGGCCUGGAAAACAUUAGUGAGAGAUGGGGAAGACACAAUCGCAUUACCCUUCUCUUUCUAUCCAUCACUGCCUUUCUCUAGUCAAUAAAUGUCUCCCAGCUAUUGCCUCUCGGCCUCUU